GCGGGCCACCGGGUCCGGGUCACCACCGGGGCUGGGUUAGUCGGUACCUUCAUGAAGGUCUCUACCGCGCCUUUGGCCGUGUCCAGAUCAUAAUAGUGAUACUGAGAACAACAACAACAAAAUUAACAAGCAUAAAAUUGGAUAUGAAAUUAAACAAGGUUGCAAUUGCUGCAAGGCUUUUUUUGCCAGGCUUUCCUGUAUGACUCGGAACUGUUUACAAUCACCUCCUCCCUCUCCAGGAGCUAUGGAGCAAAUGAAUGGAGCUAGAAAAUACGUCAUCCUGAGCAAGGCAACCCAGACCAAAAGACAAGUAUGCUCUGGGGCUCACACGUGUUAGCUGAGCACCUGCCACUGAGCCCUCAGCCUCAGAUACUGUUAACUAAGGCACAACAGAGGUAAAGGUGAAGUGUUUUCCUAAGGCUCUAAGGUGUCCCAGGCUCCAGUGAAAGUUUUGAGGGAGGGAAAGUGGUCUCUCUACUUCAUGAAGUCAGAGCAGAUCACACCUACAACGAGGAGAACACAAUUUGGAUGAAGAGGAAACAAGAACAAAAGCUGUCACAGAGAGUUAAAGGGAGUGACUGCAAAGUGUGGAGCCGGUGACUUGGCCACACUUUGAUGAAGUGGCUGCGGGUCUUCUCUUCAUUGUUUACACAAGCCAUUAGAGCAUCUUCUCACGGAAACCAUUUGACUCUGCAGUGUUGCUGCUUUGAGCUGACAGAGGAUGGAAAGUGGUCCCUGCAAUGAGAACAGGGUCUGCUGCGGAGACACAGAAAGUUCUUAAAGUAUUUGGUCACCUUAGGAUGUGACAUUAUCUAUUAUUGCUUUGAAAAGACUACAGUAGCUGUUCUGUGGGUGGCUUGGAGAGAACAAGGCUGGACCAGUGAGAAACUC